rnacentral:rRNA from 1 species
AUUGAACGCUGGCGGCAGGCCUAACACAUGCAAGUCGAACGAGCGGCGGACGGGUGAGUAAUGAAUGGGAAUCUGCCCUCUAGAGGGGGAUAACGACGGGAAACGGUCGCUAAUACCGCAUACUAUCGGAUGAACCCCAAUGGGAUUAGCUAGUUGGUGGGGUAAUGGCCGACGAAGGCGACGAUCUCUAGCUGGUCUGAGAGGAUGAGCAGCCACACCGUGACUGUGAAACGGCCCGGACUCCUACGUGAGGCAGAAGUGGGGAAUAUUGCGAAAUGGGCGCAACCCUGAUGCAGCCAGGCCGCGUGAAUGAAGAAGGCCUGCGGGUUGUAAAGUACUUUCGGUGAGGAGGCGUUAAUCACAGAAGAAGCACCGGCUAACUCCGUGCCAGCAGCCGCGGUAAUUC